UAUAUCUGAUUUUAAUUAAGUAAAAGUAGUCAACACGAUCCUGCAUUUUAUGUGGAAGAGACACUAAAGAAACACACGACCAUUUAUACUUUGAAUGUUUAUACUCCCAAGCACUGUGGCAAGGUAUGUUACAAUGGUUGAAGUAUCAAAGAACGACAGGUACAUGGAAAACAGAAGUGUAAUGGUUAACUGCUAAUGUUAACAGCAGAAACCCCAGAAAAACCAUCCUAGGUGUGGUGUUUGCAGCAGUAGUUUACAACAUCUGGAUGGAAAGGAACANNNNNNNNNNNNNNNNNNNNNNNNNNNNNNNNNNNNNNNNNNNNNNNNNNNNNNNNNNNNNNNNNNNNNNNNNNNNNNNNGAAAAGGAACAACAGAAGGUUUCAACAAUCAAGCAGAGACGCCAAAGAUCGAGCAAAGGAGAUUGCACUUCAAGUGCACUUUACUGGCAUAAAGCUACCUAAAUGGUCACCCAUUUUACAGAACAUUAACAGCUAUCCUUCGUGUGAGUAUCCAAAAUUGUAGCAACUUUCUCUCUGUGAUAGGAUAUUAGCUUAACAACAAUAGUUGUAGAGUUUCAAAUUGAUUGUACUGUUGAGAUCUGUUCUAGAGUCCAAAAGAACAGAUGAUGUAAAUUUGCCAAAUAGUUGAAAUAAAACAAAAAAUUUCUUCUAAAAAAAGUAGUCAACACGAACCCCACAGUCUCACCUAUUUAGUGGUCAAAGAAGACCUUUUAUUAUUACCCCCCUUUUUCCUUUACAUCAUUAUGUAUUAUCCCCCACAAACCCUUGUCCCCUCUUAUUUUAAUUAAAUGUUACGGGCCCACAUUUAAUUAAUUCCCAAAAUACCCCCAAAAUUAUUGAAAAUUAUUAUUCUUUCCCAUCAUCUAUAUCCAAUCUUUCCUAAUCAAUUCAAACAAUUAAUAUCACCAAACAAACUCCUAAUCAACAACAUUCAGGAAUCACUUCAACAAAGUAAGAUUUAUAUCAACAUUUGAAGAUCAUAUUCAUAUUUGAAAAAGAACAAUCUAGUAGAUUUAAAUUACCAAACUCAACAUCAGUUGAACUUCAAAUUAAAAUCAACAGCAUUAUAACCAAGAUGAAAGAUUCAAGUGAUUUAAACUAACACACUUCUAUAUUAAAACUAAACAAGAACAAAUAAAUGAAAAUUGGGUUGGUUAUUGAACCGCCCAUUUAGCGAGAAAUUUAAAACAAACUGAACUAGGAGUGAAUCUUAUCAACACUCUAAAUCAAAACUAUACAAAAAUGUAAGAUUACUGACAGUGAGCUAAAUUCCUAUGGAUUAUCACAUGACACAUCAAAGAGUAUAACCCAUGACAAUCAAAUAAACGAUGAACAAAACUGAAAUACAACUAAGAAAAACAAAUAACAAUAUCAAAAAUAGAACAAAAGAAGAGGAAAAUACCUCAUGAAAUCAGAACAAGGCGAACUCAAGCUUGAACUUAUCCGUUUCCCCUCUGCUAUUUCUCGUCAUUAUUUUGUAUAUUUUUAGGAUUGUUGAUGAUCGGACAAGGUGAAGACGAGGACUGUUGACGAGCAGUUAGUGUUCAACGACGAGCAUGGUGUUAGACGACUCGACUGGGCCGGCGUGACUGCUGAUCGUUUGGUCAUUUGGAUCUAUCUUCAUGGUUGUUUGGAUUGGUCGUUGGUGUGAGUUGACAGAGGAAGAAGAAAACGACGCAGCAGGGGGUGGUCGUUUGGUUGCGUGAAGGAGACAUGAAGGUGGUUCGCUUGAGAUGAAGGUUUUGGAGAUGAUGAAGACGAUCAACGACUGGGUGGUCGACGAUGGGAGGCAGUGUGGGUUCGACUGGUUGGAGAUGAUGACCAGGCAGGGGGUUCGUUUUCGUCGUUUGAUUGGUUAGCGAUAUGGGUGGUCGUUUGGAACAAGGGGUGAAGCAGACUGGUUCGUCGGUGGUCGUGGGUGACGAUGCUGGGCAAUGAAGUGGUCGACUGGACUGCUUCAAACAUUGGUCUGGACGUUUCUGCGUUCUUGUGGAAUUUGGUUGCUCGUGGAGGUUGAUGGGGCAGCAACGUCAUUGCUGGGGUCUUCUGGUCGACGGGCUGUGCGAUGGUGAGAAGCUAGUUGGGUAGUUUUUCGGCGAACUGAGAGUGAUGGGGUGGUGGGGAAGAUGAGGAAGAACGGAGGGGGCAGCAUGGUGGUCAGAAAUGAUGGGUUUCCGACGUGGGGGUGGUUUCUAGCUAAGGUUUUGAGGGUGUGUUUGGAGAAGAUGAAGAGAGGGUGGUGGGUGCUUAGGUGUGACGGCCAGAGAGAGUUUAGGGUGUGUUUAGGGUUAGGUUAUUUGGUUAAAUGAAAAAAGAAUCUGAAAAAUCAAAAGAG
rnacentral:lncRNA from 1 species